GCUGCCAUUGUCCGCCUCGGCGUCGGAACGCUCCCGCGGCCACCGCCUUUGAGCGGGAGAAGGAGCCCCGAUUUCCCAGGAAGCCGGGCCGCCGGUGAGGAUCCCUCCUUCUCCUUCGGUAGACGUUCCGUCUCCGCAAAGCCGGCGAAGAAGGCCGACGAUGGACCUCGAUGGGCCGGACGCCGCCCGCCAGGACGCGGAGCUGGAGCAUGGGCGCUACCUGAGCCGCCGGGCCGUGGCCCGGGAGCAGCUGGCGCAAAUAAAGGAGCACAAGGAUCAAGCAGACCUGGCCAAGCUGGAAACCAGAAGAGAAGGAGAACGAAUACAGCGAUCGAGCCAGUUAUACCAACUGGAAAUUCAGAGAGAAAAAGAAAAGGAACAGGAGAAAAAAGCUGAAUUCCAAAGGCAGCAUCAUGAAUAUGUAGCUGAACAGAAAAUAUUUAAAGCUGAAGAGAAAGAAAAAGAAGACAAAGAUGAUGAUCGGAUUAAGGCUUAUAUUAAAGGAAAAGAAAUGAUGGCUGAUCUGACAAGAGAAAAACAUGCAGAGACUAACAGGAUGAUACAGAAGCAUAAGGACAAAGCUUUUGAACAAUUAACUGCACAGAUGAAUGAGACACUUAAGAUUGAAGAUGAUCGUCUUGCUAGAGGAGCUGCAGAAGUAGAAGUUGAGUACCAAAUGCAAAACAAAGAGAAAGAAAUAAAAAAAAAGGCUGCUAUUGAAUCUAUUGAAGAACACAGAGUCAGUGUGAUGAAGUUGAAAGGGGAAAAGGAGAGACAGGAGAAAGAAGACAAUGAGAAGGAUCGUAGUCAGUGGAUGACAGAAAAUGGCAUAUAUCUGGAAAUGGAAAAAGCCAAGAAACAAAGACAGCGUGAUGCAAACAUGGAAGUACAGAAAAUUCAGCUCCAGCAAAUGGCUGAAAAGCAGGCAAGAAAAGAGCAGGAAAAGCAAGCAGACUUGGACUGCGAUGCUCAGAGAGAGGCUGCUUUCCAUCAGGAUCAAGCAUUUCGGAGAUAAAGACAUGCUCAUUUUAUUACAUGAAGCUUUUUUUCAGCAAGCAGAAAGAAUGGAAACUUUUGUAAAAGCCUUUUGAUGGCAGAAGCUGGAGCCUUAAGAAGUACUGACUACAGCAGGAGUGGUGCUGAAACCUGCAGAGCUCGAUAAUGCUCCAUAUGCAUCCCUAAGUGCAAAUUUGCACAUGCUCACUACUAUGCAUUUGAAGCAUCUACAAAGGAGUAAGAAGCUCGCCACUCUCUCCUUCCAAGUUCUGUUUGCCUGCAAAACCAAUCAGUGCCCAACAGCAGAAGCUAACUGUGGACCAAGUUACAAGACAUGCUUUUUGCUGGAACCUGCCUAUAACUCAAGCUCAAGAAACAAGUGCCUAGCUUGCAACUGUACUGUAGUCUAAUAUUAUUAUGGAACAAAGCAGUAGAUUAUUUUCAGAAAGUCAAGAGGUAACAACCAAAGUUAAACUGUCAGUUCAUCUGUACUGUACUGUACUCCUUGAAUAUUGCUGGGCCUCCAGGCUUAAUUCAAACCUUUUGUUUUGACUUGAAAAAAAAAAAUCUUACUGAGCAAACAAAAUUGAGUACAUCUGUCUGUAACAAUAAAAUCCAUGCUGACUAUA